rnacentral:lncRNA from 1 species
CGUAAUUGGAGGUGCAUCAACUAAAGCGCUGACUUCUGCAAUUGCACUGUCAUCAUUAAAAGAUAAAUCAGAAUGAGUUAGACAUUCCUCUAAUGGAUCAUCAGUAUGGUUAGAAAUGAAUGAAUCUUCUACUAAUUCCUCUAUCAUAUUUGGUUCAACAAAUUCAUCUUCUUCUUGUGGCUGCUUGGUAACAUUAAAAAUAUUCAAUUCCAUGGUCAUAUU